rnacentral:rRNA from 1 species
AACGAACGCUGGCGGCAUGCCUAACACAUGCAAGUCGAGCGAUGAGUUCGGUUCUGGCGUCGGCCGGGUGCGUAACGCGUGGUAAUGUGCCCUUCUCUACGGAAUAGCCCUGGGAUACUGGGAGUAAUAUCGUAUACGCCCUGGUGGGGAAAUAUUUUCGGGUGAGGGAUCGGCCCGCGUUUGAUUAGGUGGUUGGUGGGGUAAGGGCCUACCAAGCCGACGAGCCGUAGCGGGUUUGAAAGGAUGAUCAGCCACACUGGAACUGAGACACGGCCCAGAUUCCUCCGGGAGGAAGCAGUGGGAAAUCUGCGACAAGGGCGGCAACCCUGAUCUAGCCCGGCGCGGGGAGUGAUGAAGGCCUUGGGGUUGUAAAGCUCUUCCAGCUGGGAAGAUAAUGACGGUACCAGCAGAAGAAGCCCCGGCUAACUCCGUG